GACGAACGCUGGCGGCGUGCUUAACACAUGCAAGUCGACCGGCAGGACCUUAUUUUGUUGGGUGGCCGGGUGGCGAAUGGGGGAGGAACACGGGAGAAACCCGACCCUUGUUUUUGGGUAACGUUAGGGAAAGGGGGGUUACUCCCGGAUAGAAGUCCUUCUUCCGGGUUGGGGGUGGGAAGUUUUGGGCGGUCGUGGUUGGAUUCGCGGCUUAUCGGCUUGUUGGUGGGGGAGUGGCUUACCAAGCAUUUGACGGGUCGCCGGCCUGGGGGGGUGACCGGCCACAUUGGGACUGAGAUACGGCCCAGACUCCUACGGGAGGCAGCAGUGGGGAAUAUUGCACAAUGGGCGGAAGCCUGAUGCAGCAACGCCGCGUGCGUGAUGACGGCCUGCGGGUUGUAAACCGCUUUCGCCUGUGACGAAGCGUGAGUGACGGUAAUGGGUAAAGAAGCACCGGCUAACUACGUG
rnacentral:rRNA from 1 species